AGUGAACGCUGGCGGCGUGCUUAACACAUGCAAGUCGAACGAAGUGGGAACGGGUGAGUAACACGUGGGUAACCUCCCAUCAGAGGGGAUAACACUUGGAAACAGGUGCUAAACCGAUACUGAUGGAUGGACCCGCGGUGGAUUAGCUAGUUGGUGAGGUAACGGCUAACAAAGGCCACGAUGCAUAGCCGGUCUGAGAGGGUGAUCGGCCACACUGGGACGGAGACACGGGCCAGACUCCUACGGGAGGCAGCAGUAGGGAAUAUUCGGCAAUGGACGAAAGUCUGACCCAGCAAUGCCGCGUGAGUGAAGAAGGUUUUCGGAUUGUAAAGCUCUGUGGUUUGGGAGGCGGUAUCUAACCAGGAAGCAACGGCUAACUACGUGCCAGCAGCCGCGGUAAUAC
rnacentral:rRNA from 1 species